GGAAUCUUCCACAAUGGACGCAAGUCUGAUGGAGCAACGCCGCGUGAGUGAAGAAGGUCUUCGGAUCGUAAAACUCUGUUGUUAGAGAAGAACAUGCAGGAGAGUAACUGUUCUUGUAUUGACGGUAUCUAACCAGAAAGCCACGGCUAACUACGUGCCAG
rnacentral:rRNA from 1 species